UCGGGAAUUUUGGGCAAUGGGGGCAACCCUGACCCAGCAACGCCGUGUGAGGGAUGAAGGCCUUCGGGUCGUAAACCUCUGUCGGAAGGGAAGAAAGGUCGCUGUUCAAACAGGGCAGUGGCUUGACGGUACCUUCAAAGGAAGCACCGGCUAACUCCGUGCCAGCAGCCGCGGUAAUACGGAGGGUGCAAGCGUUGUUCGGAAUUACUGGGCGUAAAGCGCGUGUAGGCGGCUUGGUAAGUCGGAUGUGAAAUCCCGGGGCCCAACCCCGGAACUGCAUCCGAUACUGCCUCGCUCGAGUCCUGGAGAGGAUGGCGGAAUUCCGGGUGUAGAGGUGAAAUUCGUAGAUAUCCGGAGGAACACCAGUGGCGAAGGCGGCCAUCUGGACAGUGACUGACGCUGAGACGCGAAAGUGUGGGGAGCAAACAGGAUUAGAUACCCCCGUAGUCC
rnacentral:rRNA from 1 species